ACGCGAAGAACCUUACCAAGUCUUGACAUCCAGAUGAAUAUCGUGGUAAUGCAUGAUAGUCCUUCGGGACAUCUGAGACAGGUGGUGCAUGGUUGUCGUCAGCUCGUGUCGUGAGAUGUUGGGUUAAGUCCCGCAACGAGCGCAACCCUUACCGAUAGUAGCCAGCAGUAAGAUGGGAACUCUAUUGGGACUGCCAGGGAUAACCUGGAGGAAGGCGGGGAUGACGUCAAAUCAUCAUGCCCCUUAUGACUUGGGCUACACACGUGCUACAAUGGCGCUGACAGAGGGAAGCAAACCCGCGAGGGGGAGCAAAUCCAGAAACAGCGUCCCAGUUCGGACUGUAGUCUGCAACCCGACUAUACGAAGCUGGAAUCGCUAGUAAUCGCAGAUCAGAAUGCUGCGGUGAAUACGUUCCCGGGUCUUGUACACACCG
rnacentral:rRNA from 1 species